rnacentral:rRNA from 1 species
AUCGAACGCUGGCGGCAGGCUUAACACAUGCAAGUCGAGCGCCCCGCGAGGGGAGCGGCAGACGGGUGAGUAACACGUGGGAAUCUACCCAUCCCUACGGAACAACUCCGGGAAACUGGAGCUAAUACCGUAUACGCCCUUCGGGGGAAAGAUUUAUCGGGGAUGGAUGAGCCCGCGUUGGAUUAGCUAGUUGGUGGGGUAAAGGCCUACCAAGGCGACGAUCCAUAGCUGGUCUGAGAGGAUGAUCAGCCACAUUGGGACUGAGACACGGCCCAAACUCCUACGGGAGGCAGCAGUGGGGAAUAUUGGACAAUGGGCGCAAGCCUGAUCCAGCCAUGCCGCGUGAAUGAUGAAGGCCUUAGGGUUGUAAAGUUCUUUCACCGAUGAAGAUAAUGACGGUAGUCGGAGAAGAAGCCCCGGCUAACUUCGUGCCAGCAGCCGCCGUAA